ensembl:lncRNA novel transcript, antisense to KCNMB2
AGUUCAGAAACAAAGCAAUUCAAUACAUGUCUUCAAGAUUUCUAAAGGCAAUGACUUAAUUCUAAGUUCCAUGAAAGCAGGCAUUGUGUGAAUUUCUCCUGCAUCUGGAACUGGCCUAGCACACCAAGGCCUUCACUAGAUACUGGCCUUUUGACUUUGGACUUUCCAGCCUACAGACUGAGGUCUUCGAUUAUGACAUGUGUGAAAUGAGAAGCUCAUUUUGAAUGACACAUUGGUAUAUAUAAAUGAUGUGUGGAAAAUGUAGUAGAAGAAACAAUGGAACAAAGUUAUGGACAGUAGAAACAAUGGGACAAUUUAUUGAAUGUGCAGAUUUACCGUCCAAGCACCGUGGAAUCCUCUUCCUUCAAACCUAGGGAAAGACAUACAGCAGAGAAGCCUUGUUUUCGUCAUUAAAAUUUUGCCCUGAAGGUAGUCUGCAUCACUUUUGUUCACAUUUUUCUCCCGAGAAUCAAUAUAUGGUUAUUCUUCAAUGCAAGGAGGGUUACAAAAUAUAGCCCGUGUCUCACCAAUGGCCUAGAGCCAUUCCAGAAAGAAAAACAUUUUGUGGACAACUAGUAGAGCCUGCCAUAGAAGGCAUUCAAUGUAUUUUCAUAAUCCACUUUUCCCUUCUCCUGAUUAGAGUACUCUCUUUCAAAUCUUAGCAGAGGAAUGAGAAGAAACGUGAAAAGAACUCUAACAGGUAGAAUCGCUUCAUUCUCAGAUAUCAUAUUCUGAAUGGCAUAUAUCAGAUCUUGGUACCUGGUACCUGGUUAUAUAUUAAUAUUUCAUAAAUGUUUGAAAAAUACUGUGGACCAGAAGUACUUAGGGAUAAUGCAAAUCAUAACCUUUCUCUUUGAAAAUGUUUCUAACAUAUCA